GGAAAUGUGCUUGGGUUUGUUUGUGGCGGGUUUGUUCUUUAGCUGUUUGUAAUAAGUCUUGCUGCUGGUUGCUGUUUGGGUCCACACUGCCUUUAUGAGUUGUAACGCUGCCUGAGAAGGUCUGUAGCUUCACUCCUUGAAGCCGGUGAGAUCACGAACUCCACCGGGAGGAACAAACAACUCCAGACGCGCCACCUUAAGACCUGUAAUACUCAUCGCGAAGGUCUACCCUUUUAUUCUUGAGCCAGUAAGACCACGAACCCCACAGAAGAAAGAAACUCUGAACACGUCCGAAUGUCAGGAGGAACAAACUCUGGCCAUGCUACCUUUAAGAACUGUAACACUCACCUCCAGGGUGCGCGGCUUCGUUCUUGAAGUCAGUGAGACCAAGAACCCCCCAAUUCUGCACAGAAUAGGUCUUACAGCUGUAAUUCUGGGAACCCAAACGCUUUUCACCAGAAAAGGGCCGAUGCCAAAAACUGAGUACUUUUUCAAUAAUAGCUGCUGAAUUAGAGAAUUUCUGCUUGGGGCAUUUACUGCCUUGCUAUGGAACAUUAACUGAAGCUCCCCCUAUGCUAAUGGAAAUAAUGUUUCCCAGAAGAGUCCAUGAUAAAAUAAAAAUGGUUUACACAAAAUCUUGCUACCUGGAAACCAAAAUCAUGGUAUUUUGAAGACCAGAGAUAUGAGUCUCCGUUGUUUGGCAUCCCACUGACCCCACAUCUGUUUCGCUGCUAAUGCUCUGCUGCCAGAACUAUCCAAGCUGCCUCCCUCUGGGCCCAGGGACUAUCGCUGAAGAGAUGACAUCUCUGUAUGUUACCCAGGUUGGACUGGAACUCUGGGCUCAAGCCAUCCUCCUGCCUCACCUCCUGAAGUGUUGGGAUUACAGGUAUGUGAAUCACUGCACCCUUCCUGAAUUUCCAUUUUUCAGAUAAGCUCAGACAAGGAAUUUAUUUACGAAUAAGAGAUUCAUGAUGAAACAAAUACGGUAUCUUAGAUUAUCUUAAGAUUCUCUGCAUGCCCAUAGUUUAGUUUAAUUCAAUCAAAAACAGUUACAAAAAUACCUUUGUCAAGCACUGGGCUGAGUAUGGGAUGUUACCAUAGUCUGUUUGUGGGACAUAAAAUUGUAAUUAUAAUCCUGUGUGGUAAGUGCAACACCAGGAACAUGGAUACACAGAUUCACUGGAGUGGCGUCUGGACUCCAGAUUCUAGAGGAGUAAUUCUAUACUGAUUAGUAACCGCUGGCUUUAAAGGUGAGAUUUGUUACUUCUAGAAGCUGAUUUCAUCUGGGACGGACAUAAUUGCUCCCAGUGCCAAUGAAACCAAGCUUCCAGGACCAAUCCCACAUUUAAGGUUUUUUUUUUUUUUUAAUUAAUUAAUUAAUUUUUUUUCAGAGACAAGUUCUCCCAGGCUGGUCUUGAACCCCUGGGCUCAAGGGAUCCUCUUGCCUUUGACUCCCAAAGUGCUAGGAUUAUAGGUUUCAGCCAUCACACCUGGCCUCCAAAUUUAGUUUUAUUCUGGGGGUUGACAAACUCUUUUGGAAAGAGUCAGAAAAUAAAUAUUCUAGGCUUUGUGGGCCACACUCAGUCUUUGCCAGGGGCAUACAGUGAGUCACGCUACACUGCUCUCUGAAUCUUAGGAAUGGCCCUAAAGCUGUCAGAAGAGAUCUCAAAUAGGAAUGUCAUUGAAAAAGGACCAAAAUUCAAACAUGUUGAAGUGUGGUGGACUGUGUUUUUCUUCUCAUUGGCUGCCCUAUGUGGGGGGUUGAACACAUCCACUCCUGCCAUGGGGUUGCUCUGUCUACCUUGUGGGUGAAUUUACUUCCCCACACACUGAUCUCAAGCAUGGCCACACGGCCUGCUUCCAUAAAAUGUCAGUGGGAAUGUGGUGUGCCUCUUCCCAGCGGAUACUGAAGAGCCAUUGCGUGCUCUUGUCAUUUGCCUUCUCCUUCCCCAAGAUCAACAUGGCCCAGGUGAGCUUGAUCCCAGAAUGAAGACACACAGAGCAGAGUCACAGCUCUCAGCUGACCUGGAAAAUAAAUAAGAAUUAAACCUUUGUUCUUAGAGGCCUAUGAGAUAUUUUUUUUUUGGCUGCCACUGCAUAAUCUAAGAAAGCUGACUAGUACACAAAGACACGUAUACCCACUGAAGCUAUUUCACUCUGGUCCCAUACGUCUGAGCUAAGCAGGCAUAGAUCAAAAUCAUGGAGUACAUUUUAACUUAUGAAUAAACUGUGAAAAAUAUAAUUCUCAAAUUAUGUUUUUUUAAGAGAUGGGAGUCUCACUUUGUGGCCCAGGCUGGUCUCGAUCCUCUAGCCUCAGCCUCCCAAGAUGCUGAGAUUAUAGGAAUGAGCCAUCACACCUGGCCUAUAAUUCUCAAUUUUUAAUUUUGUCUAUAAAGUUGUUUCAUUUUAAAGAAGAGGUAAAGCUUGCUAUAGAUUGCUCAGAGUUCUAAGCAAGGAAAGUUAGUAAAGUAGAAUGAACAGGCCAGGUGUGGUGGCUCAUGUCUGUAAUCCCAGCACUUUGGGAGGCUGAGGUGGGCGAACUACUUGAGGAUAGGAGUUCGAGACCAGCCUAGGUAACGUGGUGAGACCGUGUCUCUAGAAAAAUACGAAAAUUAGCCAGGCAUGGUGGCGGACACCUAUAGUCCCAGCUACUGGGGUGACUAAGGCAGGAGGAUCCCUUGAGCCCAGGAGGUGGAGGUUGCAGUGACCGAGAUCACACACCACUGCACUCUGGCCUGGGUGGCAGAGUAAAACCCUGUCUC